rnacentral:rRNA from 1 species
UACAGAGGGUGCGAGCGUUGUCCGGAAUCACUGGGCGUAAAGGGCGCGUAGGUGGUGGCUUAAGCGUGCGGUGAAAGCUCGGGGCUCAACUCCGAGUCGGCCGUGCGAACUGGGCUCACUGGAGCAUAGUAGAGGCAGGUGGAAUUCCGGGUGUAGCGGUGGAAUGCGUAGAGAUCCGGAAGAACACCGGUGGCGAAGGGCGGCCUGCUGGGCUAUGGGCUGACACUGAGGCGCGGACAGCGUGGGGAGCAAACAGG